rnacentral:lncRNA from 15 species
CCCAAUUACACAGAACUCCUGCUGAGAGAGGAGAGAGAGGAGAGAGAGGAGGGGCUGAGGACAGAGGGUAGGAGCGAUGAGGAGUGAAGAGAAGGGGCACGGAGAACAAAACGGAAGGAAGAUGCCAAGAGAGCAUAUGAGACAAGGCAGGGAAAAAUGUGAGUUACAGGGCUGCAGUGAGUCCGUGAGAGAGGGGACAAAGAAGAAACGUAUUGAAGGUCUUCAUAAUAACAGCCUUCCUACAGUGGAGAGAAGGAAAGGAACUGGGCUCAGACAAGUCCAGGUUGGUCAGUAG